UCUUCUAYGUGUCGCUGAGAGAUGAGCUNGNGUCCCAUUAGCUUGUUGGUAGGGUAAUGCGCUACCAAGGCUACGAUGGGUAGCUGGUCUUAGAGGAUGAUCAGUCACACUGGAACUGAGACACGGUCCAGACUCUACGGGAGGCAGCAGUGGGGAAUAUUGCGCAAUGGGCGAAAGCCUGACGCAGCAACACCGCGUGGGUGAUGAAGGCUUCGGGUCGUAAAGCCCUGUCCUAGAAGACGAAGAUAUAUCGG
rnacentral:rRNA from 1 species